rnacentral:rRNA from 1 species
CCUACGGGAGGCAGCAGUCGAGAAUCAUUCACAAUGGGGGAAACCCUGAUGGUGCGACGCCGCGUGGGGGAAUGAAGGUCUUCGGAUUGUAAACCCCUGUCAUGUGGGAGCAAAUUAAAAAGAUAGUACCACAAGAGGAAGAGACGGCUAACUCUGUGCCAGCAGCCGCGGUAAUACAGAGGUCUCAAGCGUUGUUCGGAAUAACUGGGCGUAAAGCGUGCGGUGGCUGUUUCGUAAGUCGUGUGUGAAAGGUGCGGGCUCAACCCGCGGACGGCACAAGAUACUGCGAGACUAGAGUAAUGGAGGGGGAACCGGAAUUCUCGGUGUAGCAGUGAAAUGCGUAGAUAUCGGGAGGAACACUCGUGGCGAAGGCGGGUUCCUGGACAUUAACUGACGCUGAGGCACGAAGGCCAGGGGAGCGAAAGGGAUUAGAUACCCGGGUAGUC